rnacentral:rRNA from 1 species
GGAUUAGAUACCCUGGUAGUCCACGCCGUAAACGAUGUUUACUCGGUGCGGUGAAUCGUUUGUAUUUGCCGUGACAAAGCUAACGCAUUAAGUAAACCGCCUGGGAAGUACGGUCGCAAGAUUAAAACUCAAAGGAAUUGACGGGGGCCCGCACAAGCAGUGGAGCAUGUGGUUUAAUUCGAAGCAACGCGCAGAACCUUACCACCACUUGACAUCACCAUCGCGAUUUCCGGAGACGGUUUCCUUCAGUUCGGCUGGAUCGAGGACAGGUGCUGCAUGGCUGUCGUCAGCUCGUGUCG